rnacentral:rRNA from 1 species
UACGAAGGGGGCUAGCGUUGUUCGGAAUUACUGGGCGUAAAGCGCACGUAGGCGGACAUUUAAGUCAGGGGUGAAAUCCCAAAGCUCAACUCUGGAACUGCCUUUGAUACUGGGUGUCUUGAGUAUGGAAGAGGUGAGUGGAAUUCCGAGUGUAGAGGUGAAAUUCGUAGAUAUUCGGAGGAACACCAGUGGCGAAGGCGGCUCACUGGUCCAUUACUGACGCUGAGGUGCGAAAGCGUGGGGAGCAAACAGG